GCAGGGUGGCCACCCAGUAAUCAGCACAAGUUAGAAUGUGGGCAACUCGACAGUCAUUGCGCAGGCACUUUGGUGACUCUAGAGAACCUCGGGCCGAUCGCAUGUCCCUGUGAUGGCGACUACACAUUCCGAUGUCUGCCCUAUCAACUCUCGAUGGUACUUUCUGCGCUUACCAUGGUGACCAUGGGUAACGGGAAUCAGGGUUCGAUUCCGGAGAGGGAGCCUGAGAAACGGCUACCACAUCCAAGGAAGGCAGCAGGAGCGCAAAUUACCCACUCCCGACGCGGUGAGGUAGUGAC